AUUGAACGCUGGCGGCAGGCCUAACACAUGUAAGUCGAACGAGUGGCGGACGGGUGAGUAAUGUCUGGGAAACUGCCUGAUGGAGGGGGGUAACUACUGGAAACGGUAGCUAAUACCGCAUACCAUCGGAUGUGCCCAGAUGGUAUUAGCUAGUAGGUGGGGUAAUGGCUCACCUAGGCGACGAUCCCUAGCUGGUCUGAGAGGAUGACCAGCAACACUGGAACUGAGACACGGUCCAGACUCCUACGGGAGGCAGCAGUGGGGAAUAUUGCACAAUGGGCGCAAGCCUGAUGCAGCCAUGCCGCGUGUGUGAAGAAGGCCUUCGGGUUGUAAAGUACUUUCAGCGAGGAGGCGUUACUCACAGAAGAAGCACCGGCUAACUCCGUGCCAGCAGCCGCGGUAAUAC
rnacentral:rRNA from 1 species